CAUCAGAUGACUGAAAGCAAGUAAUGGUCUCUUAAACCAGCUCAUGAUAUCCAUAGCAAGUAUCUCUGAUGA
rnacentral:tRNA from 1 species